CAGUCAUCAGACAACUACACAUUUUGGUAGCAGUAUCAGAACUAGCAACAAGAAAAGUGUGACGUAGGAAGACACUCAGCAUGUUUUUGGAAUACGUCAACCUUUACUGGAAAUUAAACAUUUCCAAUACGGUGAGCUAAGCCAUGGUCACAUUCAGCCUACAGAAGAAAUUAUAUGGUGAGAUGGAUAAGCAGACGGUCAAAACAGCAGUGAACCUCACCAUGUCCACCCUCAGACUACAGAAGGAAUCCCCUGGCUCGCACGAACCCUUGUCGUGGAGGAAUUCGGGUGUACAUGUGAAUGCACCAAAAAUACUCACGCAAGAAAAAACAGCGAAAAGCAGAGAGAAAACAAAAACAAAAAAGAAAGUGACACAAAAACUCAUGAUAGAUAA